rnacentral:rRNA from 1 species
AUGAAGAUUUUUAUUCACUUGGCUGAGAAUGCAGGCCUCACCGACUUCAUCCGCGACCAGCGCGAACAGUAUCUCCUACUCACUAAUAUUUUUGUGCAAAAAUUUCAUUUCCAUGCUAAGAAAUCAUCACCAAUGGUGGAGUUUCAUUUAUAUGAUGAGGUUAAGGAGAUGCCACUUAGAGAAUUUUGUCGGGUUUGCAAAAUACCCUUUGAGGGCAGCAUAGAGGAACCACAUCGUAAAGAUGUGGAAGGAUUUAUUGAUAUGAUUGCUGUAGGGAAAACGAGGAAAGUUUCCGAUGCACGAAUCACUAGCAUACACUUUCCUGUUCUACGUUACUUUCCGAUAUUUGCUAGUAGAUGCUUAAUUGGUCGUGGAAACUGUGGAAACCUUAGUGCCCCUGAUAUUGUUAUUUUCUGCCAUGCUUUGUUUCGUGAUAACACUUUUAGUCUAGGCGCUAUUAUUGCUAAGCGAUUAAAUCUGAACCGUACGAAGGGCCCCAUCUUGGGAGGUAUCUUCGCUUCGCGCCUCGCUGCACACUUUAACAUACCUAUUAGGCAUUAUGUGAAAGAAGAAAAAUUGUUGCCUUCUGUUUUUCUAGACUAUAAGAGUAUGGUAGCACAUGAUUUUAUUGUUAAGAAUAAGAAAAUAAUGCUUAACUAUAGACUGAUAUUUGAUAAAAAUUACUUUGAGACUAUUACUUUGCCUGCUCCUUCUUUGUUCAAUUUAUCUACAGGCAAGUACCUUGUUCUGUCGGAGUCCAUCCAUGCCUACCGGAACCCAACAUCAGCUCCAGAGCCCGAGCCGGAGCCACCACUGGAUCCUCACCGUCAGUCUGUUUACCAGUGGAAUCCGGAGGAGAUCGUCAACCAGUGGCAUCCCAAGGAUGCUCCUCAGUACGACCCCACAGCUACAACUUUGAUCCAUGGGCAUAGACCUACUUAG